GUCUGAGUACGAGGUAAGACUGUUAAACCAGAACAGGUCUGUGUCCUGUCACUAGUAAGUGCCAAAGCCAAAGUCUCCUUGCUGGAAAUUUGUUCCUUGAUUGUGUUGUCAUGACAUCUCUUCCGCUAUAGGAUGGCCUUCCAUGCCAUUGACUCACAAACUCUUGCACAUCAUCCAAUGCAGACCUAAGCCACUACCUGCAUUCUUGUGGAUACUGUGACAAAUCUGUUCUAGAGGAGGGCCAUUCAUCACAGGGAACAAUAACUUUGAACCAAACAUGAGUAUGUUUGCCAAACAACCAGUCAAUAUAUAUUCUGUUGCAUAGUAAACCAUCAUGACAUACAGAAAGUGUUCAUCCCAAGCAGUUCAGUUGAGAUUAACAAACUUCACAACCAUCCACUUGAUAGUUUGCAUUACUUGCUCUGCCAAACCGUCAGACUGGGGUGAUAAGGUCCCAUUUACAAGACCUAUACCACUCAGUAUGGAAAUUGCUUUACCAUUAAUAGUGACUGGAUACCAAAAGCUGUUGUCAGAAACUUAUCUAACAUACAAAGAGUGAUUGGAGAGGAAAAGAUUCAUAUGUAUUUCAACUUAUACCUGGACGCAUAUGUUAGUUAUCCUUUAAAUAAUGAGGCACUUGUUGUGCUUAGUUCACCAGAUUCAGUUCCUGAUAUUGUCAAUGACGUAUAUCCUGUGGAGUGUGGAAAACUACAUACGUUUUCUGUAUCUAAAACUAUUUCACACCUGUUACCACCCCCUUAUGUCACUAACUGUACUGACUAUGAUAAGAUGGGAAGGGCAUCUUUUCGGGGUGGCUUACUAACA